rnacentral:sRNA from 1 species
GGAUGCAAAAGUCGUAACACGGUUUCCGUAGGUGAACCUGCGGAAGGAUCAUUCACACAUUAUGCGCGUCUCGCGGGCUGGGGUUUAUUUCCUGUCCUCGUCUCGCUUUUGCGAUUCGUGGGAGGAAGGAAGCGUCGGUACCGUCGGGAUUGGCUGCUUCUGAACCAUUGUUAUCCAAUCUUUGAAUCCAUAGUUAUUUCUCCACGACGUUAUUUUUAAAAAGAAGGCUUUUUAAAGUUGUUUUGCCUGCAUUUCAACUCGAUUUGCAGGUGUGUGGGAUGAGUAUGCUUGUUGGGGGGGGUCUGUCGGUGGUGGGGCUUUGGGGCUGCAUGCAUGUGCAUGCGUGCAUGCGGCUGCAGCCCUAAGCUCUGCACACCGUGGUGUGUUAUUACCGGCAUUCCGAUUCUCUCUUGCAUAUUUUUCUCACUGUUUUUUCGUUUGUUUAAAGAAAAAAAACUUUCAGCAAUGGAUGUCUUGGCUCACGCAUCGAUGAAGGACGCAGCUAGAUGCGAUACGCAUUGUGAAUUGCAGAUUUUAGUGAACCAUCAGAUUUCUGAACGCAUAUGGCGCUUCUGGGAUUUUCCCCGUAGCACGUCUGUUUCAGUGUCUCUUGACCCCUUCAAAAAAUACACUGCCAUAAAAGCAUAAAACAAGGCCUCAUGUGUCUAGGGUUUUUUGCUUUUAUGGUGGUAUCGUUUGCGUGUCGCAGCAAAAUAGAUUUGCAUGCGUCAUGUGAAGUUGUUUGUGGAUAUACUAUUAUUCACGUAUAAGAGCGGCACCUCGCUUAACUCUAUCCUUUCGUUUACGAAAGAGAUACGGUGGUGUGUAACAACUCCUUUGGGGUUGUGUAUGCUACUAUCUCGAACAAAAGUGAACGGAGGGCAGCAGGUUUUCCUGUUGUGAGUUGUGGUGCGUUGCUUUUUAUGUGGGUAGUAUUCGUAUAUCCUGUUCCUUCCAUCAAACGAGAUGAGUGAUGAUGGUUUUGGAUAAAUAUUUAUUUGUUUUAGACCUGAAAUCAGUCGAGAUUACCCGCUGAAUUUAAGCAUAUUAUUAAGCGGAGGA